GUAGUCAUAUGCUUGUCUCAAAGAUUAAGCCAUGCAUGUCUAAGUAUAAACUAAUUUAUACAGUGAAACUGCGAAUGGCUCAUUAUAUCAGUUAUAGUCUACUCGAUAGUACCUUACUACUUGGAUAACCGUAGUAAUUCUAGAGCUAAUACAUGCAUGAAUACCCAACUGCUUGUCGGGCGGGUAGCAUUUAUUAGAUUGAAACCAAUGCAGCUUUCGGGCUGGUAUUGUGUUGAGUCAUAAUAACUGUGCGGAUCGCACUCUGUGCGAUAAAUCGAUUGAGUUUCUGCCCUAUCAGCUUUGGAUGGUAGGAUAUGGGCCUACCAUGGCAUCAACGGGUAACGGGGAAU
rnacentral:rRNA from 1 species